UCACUCCGAGGUCAAGGAAUAGACGAUAGGGUUAGAACUUAGGAGCUGUUUUUUUGGAGUAUUCGACCGCAACCAUAGACUCAAGAAAUACUAUACAAAGGACAUUUUAAAGGUGAGUGGCAUCUUUUGUCAUUCAAAUACAUUAGAUAGCCUUGUAGUUGCACUGUAUAGGCAAAUUGCUGUUUGACCACAAUUAGCAGCCCUUUAGAGUGUUUAUUGUGUGUGUUUCUUGCUCAUUUCAUGCAGUGUUGCUUUUAUAUCUAGAGAAACCUGCAGGAAGACCUGUUACGUAUGGUAUCUGUAUUGUAAAAAAUACUUUGGUUACUAUUGUGAUAUAACUUUUUAUUAAAAAAAAGUCUUGGUAUUAAAGGCUGCAUUACAUCUAUGUCAAGAUGUGUAAAGUAUCGUAAUCUGAUUCUGUCAGUGCCACCCAGACAUACGUUUAUCUACUUGAUGUUAAGACUUUGCAUCAACAGUAAAUGCAAAGAUACUAUGCCAUUCUAGGCUGAUUGGUAUCUUGUAAAGUUGGCCCAUAUCGAAACAAAAUGGGCUGGAGAUGCAAAAUAUGUAAAUUUGAAACCUCUGCAAAAACAGGGUUGCUAAAACAUUACAGGUUAUGCCAUGGUCAUGGUGGUCAACCUCUGCCAUGUCUUUAUCCAGAUUGUUUUUGUUUCUUAAAAACAUGGGGUAGCCUUAGAUCACAUCUAUCAAGAAAUCACUCUCAGGAAACUCAGGAAAGAGUCAGAACUGCAGGUUUCUCUUUCACUUGCCAGUGUUGCAGUACCAGCACAAUCUCCACAGAAAAGAGAGCUUUUUGAACACCUUGGUCGACAUUUGAAAAAAAAUUAUACUGUCAUGUUAGUGCUGAAAGUGCAAUGUUAGUGCACUUUCAGCACUAACAUUUACGGAACAUUUGCCUCCCACAGAAGCCGAAAGCAUACUCCUCACUCACUGCAAGACUUUAAAGAAGACCUGCUAAAGAGAUAAAUGACGAAUUCAAGAGAAUAACCACCGUAAGCCUUGAAUCAACUGGGGAGGAGCUACUGGAGUGAGAAUCAGGCAGAUCAAGGACAUGCUUCUUGAGCACAAUACAAUUGAGAACUAGUCAUCCGCUGCCUUGUCGUGUACCUUGGAGAAAAGGAAGAGGACCUUCUCAAGGAGUUUAAUGACCACGUUGCCAUGAUGACACACACAUGCAGACUCACAAGGUGAAAACAAUACCAGCGUCGCUUUAGCAGCUGAACACAAAAGAGUUCGAGGCAGACCUUGAUGGACAAGUGAUGAAUACCACCCCAGGAUCUGACCAUACGAUGGCAACCAUCGUGGUCGAGGGAAACAAAGUCGUUGAGGGAAAGGAUAUCCCAAGGUGCUGUGCUUUGCUGAUGGGCAUAAUAUAUGCUCUGAAUCUGAGCUGUCGGUGUAAACAUCUUUGUUACAUCUUUUGUAAAAUUGAUGUGUGUGAU